rnacentral:rRNA from 1 species
UACGUAGGGUGCAAGCGUUAAUCGGAAUUACUGGGCGUAAAGCGUGCGCAGGCGGUUGUGCAAGACAGAUGUGAAAUCCCCGGGCUUAACCUGGGAAUUGCAUUUGUGACUGCACGGCUAGAGUGUGUCAGAGGGGGGUAGAAUUCCACGUGUAGCAGUGAAAUGCGUAGAUAUGUGGAGGAAUACCGAUGGCGAAGGCAGCCCCCUGGGAUAACACUGACGCUCAUGCACGAAAGCGUGGGGAGCGAACGGG